rnacentral:rRNA from 1 species
UACGUAGGGUGCAAGCGUUGUCCGGAAUUACUGGGCGUAAAGGGCGCGUAGGCGGCCAGGUAGGUCUGCUGUGAAAACUCGAGGCUCAACCUCGAGACGCCGGCGGAAACCAUCUGGCUAGAGUCCGGAAGAGGAGAGUGGAAUUCCUGGUGUAGCGGUGAAAUGCGCAGAUAUCAGGAAGAACACCCGUGGCGAAGGCGGCUCUCUGGGACGGUACUGACGCUGAGACGCGAAAGCGUGGGGAGCGAACAGG